UGGGGAAUCUUCCGCAAUGGACGAAAGUCUGACGGAGCAACGCCGCGUGAGUGAAGAAGGUUUUCGGAUCGUAAAACUCUGUCUUUUGGGGCGAACGUGAGUAUGGUGAACAAUCAUAGUCAGUGACGGUACCAAAGGAGGAAGCCACGGCUAACUACGUGCCAGCAGCCGCGGUAAUACGUAGGUGGCAAGCGUUGUCCGGAAUUAUUGGGCGUAAAGAGCGCGUAGGCGGGAUAGUCAGUCUGUUGUAAAGUGCGGGGCUCAACCCCGUGAUGGCAAUGGAAACAGCUAUUCUUGAGUGCAGGAGAGGAAAGUGGAAUUCCCAGUGUAGCGGUGAAAUGCGUAGAUAUUGGGAGGAACACCAGUGGCGAAGGCGACUUUCUGGACUGUGUCUGACGCUGAGGCGCGAAAGCCAGGGGAGCGAACGGGAUUAGAUACCCCGGUAGUCCUGGCCGUAAACGAUGGGUACUAGGUGUGGGAGGUAUCGACCCCUUCCGUGCCGGAGUUAACGCAAUAAGUACCCCGCCUGGGGAGUACGGUCGCAAGACUGAAACUCAAAGGAAUUGACGGGGUCAUAGCUGUUU
rnacentral:rRNA from 1 species